rnacentral:pre_miRNA from 1 species
UAGAAUUUUUGACUCUUCGUCUUAUUUGAAAAAUUUUUAUGAUUAAUAUUUUUAUUGUUACUACAUGAUAAAACAUAAAUAGUACUUUACAAACGACUAUUUUUUUCAAUUUUUUAAUAAAAUUUUUAAAUAAAACGAGUGGUCAAACGCUGGACA